rnacentral:pre_miRNA from 1 species
UCGUCAUUCUGCACACUCUCUCACCGGUCGGAGAAGCGAGAGAGCGUGCGCAAUGAAGAGA